UGGGGAAUUUUCCGCAAUGGGCGAAAGCCUGACGGAGCAAUGCCGCGUGGAGGUGGAAGGCCUACGGGUCGUCGAACUUCUUUUCUCGGAGAGAAACAAUGACGGUAUCUGAGGAAUAAGCAUCGGCUAACUCUGUGCCAG
rnacentral:rRNA from 1 species